rnacentral:rRNA from 1 species
AGUGAACGCUGGCGGUAGGCCUAACACAUGCAAGUCGAACGGCAGCACAGUAAGAGCUUGCUCUUACGGGUGGCGAGUGGCGGACGGGUGAGGAAUACAUCGGAAUCUACUUUUUCGUGGGGGAUAACGUAGGGAAACUUACGCUAAUACCGCAUACGUCCUACGGGUGAAAGCAGGGGAUCUUCGGACCUUGCGCGAUUGAAUGAGCCGAUGUCGCAUUAGCUAGUUGGCUGGGUAAAGUCCCACCAAGGCGACGAUCCGUAGCUGGUCUGAGAGGAUGAUCAGCCACACUGGAACUGAGACACGGUCCAGACUCCUACGGGAGGCAGCAGUGGGGAAUAUUGGACAAUGGGCGCAAGCCUGAUCCAGCCAUGCCGCGUGAGUGAAGAAGGCCUUCGGGUCGUAAAGCCCUUUUGUUGGGAAAGAAAAGCAGCAGGUUAAUCCCCCGCUGUUCUGACGGUACCCAAAGAAUAAGCCCCGGCUAACUUCGUG